rnacentral:lncRNA from 1 species
AUGGCCCAGGUGCUUGGGCCCUGCACCCCAUGGGAGACCAGGAAAAGCACCUGGAUCCUGGCUCCUGCCAUCGGAUCAGCGCGGUGCGCCGGCUGCAGCGGCGGCCAUUGGAGGGUGAACCAACGGCAAAGGAAGACCUUUCUCUCUCUGUCUCUCUCUCUCACUGUCGACUCUGCCUGUCAAAAAUUAAAAAAAAAAAAAAAGAUGUGCGUGUUUAUAAGGCUCACUUCUAGGCUGAUGGCUGAGAAGGAAACGGGAACAGACUGCGGUGGCUCCUCGGAGGCCUGGCUGCUCGCUCAGAGAACGCGAGGGCUUGACGCCUGGGAAGCACCGUGGAAGUCGGGUGGGUUUUCAUCCUACGAAGUCAGUCCUCACAAGCGGUUUCAUGUGCCUCGUUGGUGUGCUUUCUCCAGCUCCUUCCCGUCAUGCCCCAUCCAUGACCAUAAUCCACACCCGCGGGGAGCGGGAGGACGCAAAGGCUGGGGUGCUCAAUCUUUUUUGUUUUUUAAAGAUUUAUUUAUUUAUUUGAAAGGCAGAGUUACAGAGAGGCAGAGAGAGAGAGAGGCAGAGAGAGAGAGAGAGAGAGAGAGAGAGAGAGAGGUUUUCCAUUUGCUGGUUCACUCCCCAGAUGACUGCAACAUUCUGAAGUCCCCAGAGCUGUGCUGUUCUGAAGCCAGGAGCCAGGAGCUUCCUCUGGGUCUCCCAGGCGGGUGCAGGGGCCCAGGGACUUGGGCCAUCUUCCACUGCUACCCAGGCCAUAGCAGAGAGCUGGGUCAGAAGUGGAGCAGCCGGGACUCGAACUGGUGCCCAUAUGAGAUGCCGGCACUGCAGGUGGCAGCUUUACCCAUUAUGCCACAGCGCUGGCCUCAGGACUUUCCAUGGUCUAUGCACACAACCAGCAUUGUCUCCAGUCCCCACACCAUGAUCCCGGAAAUCCACACUGGACCGGACAUUGUGGAAAGCGAGGGCUGCCUCCUGCCUUUCUCCGUUACAGGCCUGCAAUGUGCUUCAGGCAGAAAAUGUGUCACAUCCUCUGUCCGCCCUCUGCUUUGA